rnacentral:rRNA from 1 species
UACGUAGGGGGCAAGCGUUGUCCGGAAUCAUUGGGCGUAAAGCGCGUGUAGGCGGGUCGGUAAGUCCGCUCUGAAAGCCCGGGGCUCAACCCCGGGAGGCGGGUGGAUACUGUCGACCUCGAGUCCGGAAGAGGCGAGUGGAAUUCCUGGUGUAGCGGUGAAAUGCGCAGAUAUCAGGAGGAACACCGGUGGCGAAGGCGGUCUGCUGGGCAGUUGCUGACACUGAGGCGCGACAGCGUGGGGAGCAAACAGG